rnacentral:rRNA from 1 species
CACCUAGUCGAAUCUGCGGAAGGAACAUUACCUAGAGUUUGUAGACUUCGGUCUGCUACCUCUUACCCAUGUCUUUUGAGUACCUUCGUUUCCUCGGCGGGUCCGCCCGCCGAUUGGACAACAUUCAAACCCUUUGCAGUUGCAAUCAGCGUCUGAAAAAACAUAAUAGUUACAACUUUCAACAACGGAUCUCUUGGUUCUGGCAUCGAUGAAGAACGCAGCGAAAUGCGAUAAGUAGUGUGAAUUGCAGAAUUCAGUGAAUCAUCGAAUCUUUGAACGCACAUUGCGCCCCUUGGUAUUCCAUGGGGCAUGCCUGUUCGAGCGUCAUUUGUACCUUCAAGCUCUGCUUGGUGUUGGGUGUUUGUCUCGCCUCUGCGUGUAGACUCGCCUUAAAACAAUUGGCAGCCGGCGUAUUGAUUUCGGAGCGCAGUACAUCUCGCGCUUUGCACUCAUAACGACGACGUCCAAAAGUACAUUUUUACACUCUUGACCUCGGAUCAGGUAGGGAUACCCGCUGAACUUAAGCAUAUCAAUAGCCGGGAGGAA